AGAAUCAACGCUGGCGGCGUGCCUAACACAUGCAAGUCGCACGAGAAAGGGACUUCGGUCCUGAGUACAGUGGCGCACGGGUGAGUAACACGUGAAUCAUCUACCUCCGAGUGGGGAAUAACCUAGAGAAAUCUGGGCUAAUACCGCAUAACACUUACGAGUCAAAGCAGCAAUGCGCUUGGAGAGGAGUUCGCGGCAGAUUAGUUAGUUGGCGGGGUAAUGGCCCACAAGACGAUGAUCUGUA
rnacentral:rRNA from 1 species